rnacentral:rRNA from 1 species
UACGUAGGUGGCAAGCGUUGUCCGGAUUUACUGGGCGUAAAGGAUGCGUAGGCGGACAUUUAAGUCAGAAUGUGAAAUACCCGAGCUUAACUUGGGUGCUGCAUUUGAAACUGGGUGUCUAGAGUGCAGGAGAGGUAAGUGGAAUUCCUAGUGUAGCGGUGAAAUGCGUAGAGAUUAGGAAGAACACCAGUGGCGAAGGCGACUUACUGGACUGUAACUGACGCUGAGGCAUGAAAGCGUGGGGAGCAAACAGG